GCCAGGGUGGGAUAGUCUGGUUAGCCUAGGGGCCUGUGGAGCCCCCGACGCGGGUUCAAAUCCCGCCCCUGGCC
rnacentral:tRNA from 1 species